rnacentral:rRNA from 1 species
UACAGAGGGUGCAAGCGUUGCUCGGAAUUAUUGGGCGUAAAGGGUAGGUAGGUGGUCUUAUUUGUCUGGGGUGAAAGCCUUGAGCUUAACUCAAGAAGUGCCCCAGAAACGGUAAGACUAGAGUCUUGGAGAGGGUUGCGGAAUUCCCGGUGUAGCGGUGAAAUGCGUGGAGAUCGGGAGGAACACCAGAGGCGAAGGCGGCAACCUGGACAAGUACUGACACUCAACUACGAAAGCGUGGGGAGCAAACAGG